ensembl:lncRNA
UGGAACGAUCCCCCUUGCACCAGGGUGUACGUGUGUCACCAAUAAACACAUACCUGCUCUAUAUCCUUACUGGCUAUAGGGUCUGAUUUCUGCACGUCAAUUUGGCACCCCAGAUGGGACCCACUCUGUUCGGCUGCAGGACCGGUUGAGAGAGGGGACACCUUUGGCGCGCCCCAAGAUUUCUUGGAAGGACUCCCUUCCUCACCCGAUCACUGCAGGGACAGACAAGGACCAUCCAUAGGUGGACCAGGUAUGUGUAUGGGAAAGGGGAACCCGUAAGGCGUGAGGAGAUGUCCUACGCAGGGUAUGAAGGAGCGUGCCUGCUCCCCCCCCGAGGUAUGUGAGCUCACGGGUUAGGUUGCCGGCUGGGGUAGGAAAACUUUAAUCAAGUAUUGCAAUCAAUGGUGGUUAAUAUAUAAGUUAGAAGAUGAUGAGAAGUGGCAUCGGAAUGGGACUCUAAGGUAAGGUAAAUGAAGUAACAUGAACAGUUUUUAUAAUUGAGUGCUCUAAUCACGAGACUAAGUACUGGGUGUUUGUGGAAACUGAAGAACUGUAUUGUUUAAUUUGUGGGUUCUGAAGGGAAUGGGACAAACAGUUUUGAUAGUAUAAGUAAGUGUAAUUGUUAAUGGUAUACAGAAGCUUGAUUGAGGGUAUGUAGAAGUGUAACUGAGGGUAUGAACAGUGGACAGAGGAAAAAGGGUUAAAGAGAAAGUGAGUUUAUCUGCGCUGGCAUGAGAGCAGCCCCCCCACACCAUUCCCCUGCAAGCAGAACUCUUGGAGUGAGAGUGCCGGAGUCAGAGACUGCUGUUGUAAACAGCGUUACUUGCGAAUGGGGGGAGGUGGAGAGGAGGGGGCACUGGCAGUGAGAAUAGCUUUCAUGUGCAGAGAUCUCGGAAACCCGAAAUUCCAGUGUUAGCACUGGAAACCUCUGGAGAGGAGGAGUUGAAGCUGAAAUGUAAUGUUAGUACUUUAUGUAAUGAUAAGAGUUUGGAAAGUGAAAAGUUUGAGGACACAGGCUGAGGAAGGCAAAGAUGAGCAAGGUGUAACAGGGUUGUCAGAACCAAAGAGGGUGAGCAAUACGAAGAAAGAAACUAACUGAGAAACAGAGAUAGUAAGGAAAUUGGGAAUAGCAACAGCUGUUACUGUUGUGCUGCUAGAGUAGAGCCUUAGGACCCAGAGGUCCCCUUAGAGAGAGCUAAAGGGAGGGGCCUGGAAGAACCCAUGGAAGGUUCCGCCCCUGCUGGACUGAAAGCAGUGUGCAAACUGCAGGGAAAUGAGAAGUUGGGGGAGAAAUCCAACCGUCUCUUAUUGCAAAAAGCUGAAUGAUGGGAACCUGGGAAGUUAUUCCUAGCAAAUCCACUGGUUAAAUUGCAGCUAGGAGAGCAGGAUAAAGAGGUUUAUUUUCUGGUGGGUACGGGGGCCUCUUACCACCCAUAGAUGAUUUUGCAACAGUAGUAGGAGCUACUGCCCAACAAGAAAAAGCUUACCUUUUGGGAUCAACUAAAUACGGGCUGAGAAAAUAAGUAGGAAUACAUAAAUUCUUGUACAUGCCACGUUGUCCAAAACCAUUACUCUGGCAAGACUUAUUAGAACAAAUGGAUGCAGAGAUUAAAUUCAAUAAAACUGGAGCUAAGGGUCAAACAAUAUUAACUGAUUGAAAAUUGUAAGUCUGGCUUUAACACAAACUGGGAAAAACAAUGGUAUACCCCCAGAAGUUACAGAAAUCUUAAAUAAAGUAUGCUUAGGAGUGUGGGUACCAGGGAUACCUGGUAGAGCCAAAAUGCAGCCCUAAGUUAAAAGCAAGAGCUAGGGCUAGCCCAGUCAGGGUAAAGCAGUGCCAUUUGAGGAUCUGCAACUGUAGAAGAAUAAAAGAAAAAUAGAUAACUUUUGGAUUUUGGAUUACUAAUUGAAUGUGGAUCCAAAUACAGUACUCCAAUCUUGCCAAUGAAAAAUUGGAUAGCAAGUGCUAUAGUUUAGUACAAGAUUUGAGGGCAAGUAAUAGAAUUGUUGAAUGUAUACAUUCCGUGGUGGCAAAUCCAUACACUUUAGUAACUAAGUUAGGGAAUGAGUAGGUGGAGUUUACCUUCUGGAUUUGAAGGAUGCCUUUUCUGCCUAGUUUGGCCAAAGGAAGCCUAAGAUUAUUUGCCAUUGAAUAGGAGAGCCUCAAUUUGGAACAAAGAAGACUCAGUUAACCUGGACAGCGUUACCCAGGGUUGUGAGAACAGCCCAAUGAUUUUUGAGAAUGGGUCAACUCGUGAGCCUGAGAUUUGGGUUCCUCCAUCCCAUGGUGGAACUUGACUGCAGCAUGUGCAUGCCACAGAAACAAAGAGGACUGUGUGCAAUGGACUGUGAGUGUGCUGAAUUUCUUUGUUUAAAUGAUGAUCAAGUUUCUCAAUAGAAGGCACAAAUAACUCAACGGCAAGAGACGUAUCUGGAAUAGGAGAUUACAGCUGGACUUUGAACCUUAAGGACUGCCAAGAAAGAAGCCAUCUGCCAAACCUCUGAGCCACAAAGUGCCAAGGAACUCCGUACAUUCUCAGGAAUGACAGGAGGGUGCCAACUGUGGCUACACAGCUACGGACUGUUGGUAAAGCCCUUUCAUGAAGUAAGUAAGAGAUGGCCAGAGUGGUUGAGGGCGGUGGCUGCACCAGUGCUCAAUAUUCAAGAAGCUGGUAAAUUUACCCUAGGCCAAAGAAUAACAGUUUUAAUAUCUGAUACAGUGUCUACUGUAUUGUAUUGGAGGUAAAAGGGGGCAUUGGCUCUCACCCCCAGAGGUUCCUGAAAUACCAGGCCAUCCUGGUACAGCAGGAUGAUGCAGAAAUAACUGUAACUAAUAUUGUCAACCCAGCAUCUUUCCUUAGCAGAACUCCUAGACAACAAGUAUUUCAUGACUGCUUUGAAACAACUGCAGCUACGGACUGUUGCCAGUCGGACCUGAAAGAUGAAUCCUUAGAAGAUGCAGAAGACACCUGGCUUACUGAUGGAAGCAGUUUUGUGAGACAAGGAAACCGUAAGGCAGGAUAUGCAGUAACUGCUACUGACAAGGUCUGGAGCCGCCAAAAGAAGAAAGACGAGGAGCUUUUGGAGAGGACCCAGAGGAGGGCCACAGAGAUGAUCAGAGGGCUGGAGCACCUUCCGUACUGUCAUGGUUUUGUAACUUCGCUAUUGGUAUUCCACAUCAUAACAUCAUGGACAAAAGAGAAGAACUACGUAUCCCAGAGGAUCUCACGGUCAGAGAAGGAAGACACACAACGGAAGAUACGUCAUCUGGUUGCGCGCGGUUUUUCUUCACUUUUCGCUUGCUGCCGGGAGAGGAGUGGGUGUGCUUUCCAAGCCGGGCGCAUUCAUCAAGUAAGGCUUUCGGUUUCGGAAACUCCCUCUCUCUCUCUCUCUCUCUCUCUCUCCCUCUCUAUUGCUCUUUCGCUCUCUCCCUCAUUUCAUUUGGUUUAUUAUCCUUACUCCAAAUUAGAUUGUAUUAUAUCGUGUCAUCUUGCAUCCCAACAUCAUAGUUAGUAAAAUAAGUUCUCCUUCUUAGAUUGUUGCCGCCGCUUCAUUUUUCUGGGCAAGCCGGGGGGGAGGGGGGACCCGCAAGCCUACUGCCCCCCUGUCACAGGCACAGAUCUAUCUAGGUAACUCCGUGACACGUACGAAGACAGGCUGAGGGAGCUGGGCUUGUUCAGCCUGGAGAAGCAAAGGCUGUGGGGUGAUGUCAUUGAAGCUAG